AUUAUUUUGAAAGAGACAUUUAAAUGCAACACCAAUAGGAAACACCCAGGGAGAGAGAUCCACCCAAGCCAGGAAUGUCUAUCCACUCUCCAUCCUUCUCUGCCCUGCUCUGUGUCCUGGGAGGCUGACCUCUCUCUGCAGAUCAUACCAGUUGCCCUCCCCAACCUCCUGUAUUCCAAUCCUAAUAUGAGGCAUCAAGCAGGAGAUUGAAGAAGAGAGGGAGAAACAGGCACAAGAUCAUUAAAGAAAAGAUGCUCCAUUGAGAAGAACAGCUGGAAAUUCUGCUAAUGGGCUGAAUACACACUGGAGUCACUUUUCUCUUCCAUCCAAGAAUUUCCAACUGUCUGAUGUAUCAAUGUUCUAAGAAGCAUGCUAACCAUGGCCGACCAGGAAUUCCUACCCAGCCUCAAAGGGGCACUAGAGGAGAAGGAACUUGCUUCUGGGUACACAAAAUCUGAGCAUUUUGCUUUCUUGUUUCCAAAUACAGAGAGCAACAA